CACCUAAUGAAAUGUGGCCUUACCAUGAAACUGAGUAGCCACGUAUCAUUUGGCCAUCGUUGCUCUGAUUCAUCUCCCUUUUUCAUGGUCCUCUCCUCUCUUUCUUCAUCGCCAUGGUCGAGCUUAAUUAGCUAAUCCUUCUAUCUUCAACGUCUUUCUCUAGAAUCCUUCAAUGCUUUCCUCGAUUUUUCUUGCUAGCACGAAUUCACCAGUGCAUGGAUUUGACGAUCCCAACGAUUGAAGUUCCGAUAAAUGCCAUUUUUGGUAAAGAACUACUAAAAAGAAGACCAGAAAGAAGACCAAACACCGCACACAUAGCAUCUCUUUUUGCUAAUAUGUAAAUUGUAACUACUGUGGUACUUUAAGCAUCCCUAAAUCUGACGCUCUCAUGUAUGUAAAUGUAUAUUUUGAUCAAAACCAUAUGUAAAUAGUCAUCUACCAAUUAGCAUACAA